AACGAACGCUGGCGGCAGGCCUGAGGCAUGCAAGUCGUACGAGAAAGUGUAGCAAUACAUGAGUAGAGUGGCGCACGGGUGAGUAACACGUGGGAACAUACCUUAAAGUGGGGGAUAACAGUUGGAAACGACUGCUAAUACCGCAUAAACCCUUCGGGGGAAAGAUUUAUCGCUUUAAGAUUGGCCCGCGUUGGAUUAGCUUGUUGGUGAGGUAAUGGCUCACCAAGGCAGUGAUCCAUAGCUGGUCUGAGAGGAUGACCAGCCACACUGGGACUGAGACACGGCCCAGACUCCUACGGGAGGCAGCAGUGGGGAAUUUUGGACAAUGGGCGCAAGCCUGAUCCAGCAAUGCCGCGUGCAGGAAGAAGGCCUUCGGGUUGUAAACUGCUUUUGUACGGAACGAAACGGCGAGCUCUAAUACAGUUUGCUAAUGACGGUACCGUAAGAAUAAGCACCGGCUAACUACGUGCCAGCCGCCGCAGUAA
rnacentral:rRNA from 1 species